GUGCACCAGUCGCGAAUACUUUACAAUGUGCGAAAGCACGAUAAGGGAACUCUGAGUGCCUCCUAAGGAGGCUGUUCAGGUGUCUAAAAGCACCUGAAGGAAGGGCUGGGUAAGACCGGUGCCAGCCGCCGCGGUAACACCGGCAGCCCAAGUGGUAGCCACGUUUAUUGGGUCUAAAGCGUCCGUAGCCGGCUGGGUAAGUUCCUUGGGAAAUUUGGCUGCUUAACAGUCAAGCUUUCAGGGAAUACUGCCCGGCUUGGGACCGGGAGAGGUCAGAGGUACUCCAGGGGUAGGGGUGAAAUCCAUUAAUCCUUGGGGGACCACCGGUAGCGAAGGCGUCUGACCAGACCGGGUCCGACGGUGAGGGACGAAGGCUAGGGGCGCGAACCGGAUUAGAUA
rnacentral:rRNA from 1 species